CUGCAGUACCCAUGACAACAUACCACUGUGGUGGGUUGUUUUGUUUUGUUUUUGGACCAGUGUGAUAUUUGGCUCCCACUCUCAAGAUCGCCGAAGACCAUUUCUUUCUACUGAGAUGUUCCAGUUAGUAAGUUCAGGAUCCAGUCCAGGAGCCCAUGCUGUAUUUGGCUGACGUGCUUCCCAGUCUCCUCUGGUCUGUGACAACAUCUCAGUCUUUCCUUCUUUCUCAUGAGUUUGGAAAGGAGCACGAGAGCUGAAACAUCCAUCUUCUCCUGCCCUUGGACAUCAGAGCUCCUGCUUCUUAGGCUUUGACCUUAGACCUCAGUUACAGCAUCAACACCCCUGGUUCUUAGGCGUUGGGACUUAGAGAAUGACACCGCUGGCUCUCCUGGUUCUCCAGCUUGCAGACGGCAGAUUGCAGGACUUCUAAGGCCUCCAAAAUUGUAAAAGAAGAGGCCUUUCAAGUGGAGUUCAUGCCUUCAUGCUCAGGACAUGGUGAAGGAAAGGAGGCAAGAAGAAGAGUGGUCUAAAUCUCAGCAGCACUGUAGACAUUCCGUAAUUCCCAACACUUGUCGGGGGGACUUACCAGCCGUGGGUGCAGGGAGUCUGCAAGCAUCACCCUACUGGGGAAAACAUUAGAUUUCAGGCACUAUAGAGAAUGAUCAGAAGUGUUGUCCCAUCCAAAAGACUUGAAAAGUUUCCAGGAAAGAGUAGGAGCUGGUGAUGUGUAGGCUGAGCACUCCUGGUGAGGGACAACAUGCCUCAUAGGAGAGCUGGGUGGUCACAUGAUCAAGCUGACGGAUUAAAAGCUGGCCAACAGGGCCCCUGAAACAUGUAGGGUGGUCUGGGGGCAUAUAUGAAAUCCAAGUCAAAACAUCAAUUUAGAGUAGAUAGAGCAUGCACUGAUCUUGAAAAUGGACCUGAAGAUUUAGGUCCUAGCUCAUAGGGAAAGAUCUGGAAGGAGGGUGAUGACUCCCUGGGUCCCACCAGGUGUAGAGAUAGUUGGAUUCUUCCCCCCAGCGCCCCAGUGCCCUUGCUUCAGCUCAUGCAGGCCUUUAUUUCUGUCCAGGAAUCAGGAUCAGAUCUCAUCCAACUUCUGCAUUCAUUUCAGUGGUUUACUAAACAUAUAUAUGUCGGGCAUUGUAUUAGCUGCUGGGAAUACAACACAUGAUGUAGCUUGUGUCCUCUGAGAAACUGACCAUCUGUUGGGAUUCUAGGCUGCUGACAGGAGGUAGACCCUGCUUGGCCACCUUAAUUUGGGUGAGCUUGCCAAGAUGUGGAUUUGAGGCUUCCCAUAAGCACAGCCAUGGCUACUGUUGAUAGUCCAGGCCGAGGGCUGUGGUCUUAAAUUGAACCCUUUGAUUAGAACCAUGAGGUUUGCUGAUAAGUAGAUUCUUUCCAUUCAUGCUCUUCAAGAUGUCAUCAAAGUUGAGCCACACUUCUUGAAUAGUAUUCCAGAGCUAAGUGUUUAAAUAUAGCCCAACCGCUGAGGCAACGGAUAAUAUUCACCUUAAAGUCACCAUGAGGUACUCGGAAAGUCUGAGCUCUGUGAAAGGCCAGGCUCAGAUCAGAAGAAGCUGGGUAGCACGCUCACAUCUAGUCAGGAGGCCGCUAGCUCAGUGUUCCAAGAUGCCCUGUGCCGUUCGGCUGCUCACUAUGCAAGGACAACUCCUCUGAAACUAAACUAGGUAGCAUUCCCCAAAAGAAAUGCAAGCCUCCUGACAAAACUGUUGAAAGCAGAGAAAAUGAUCCCCAAAAUAUAGCAAUGUCUUGCAACAUUGCUGCAAAUACGCUGGAAAGUGAAAUACAAAUCUGGAGACAUUUAAAUUUAGAAUGCAUGUGAUAUUUGCAUGGGCUCAACCUGCAACAGAGAGAAGACGUGCUAAGGAGGCUCUAAAAUCUAGUACUAGUAUUUUCUCUUCUCUGACUUAGGAAAAGGAAUUACACCAUU